rnacentral:rRNA from 1 species
GUGGGGAAUAUUGGACAAUGGGCGAAAGCCUGAUCCAGCCAUGCCGCGUGUGUGAAGAAGGUCUUCGGAUUGUAAAGCACUUUAAGUUGGGAGGAAGGGCAGUAAGUUAAUACCUUGCUGUUUUGACGUUACCGACAGAAUAAGCACCGGCUAACUUCGUGCCAGCAGCCGCGGUAAUACGAAGGGUGCAAGCGUUGAUCGGAAUUACUGGGCGUAAAGCGCGCGUAGGUGGUUUUGUAAGUUGGAGGUGAAAUCCCCGGGCUCAACCUGGGAACUGCCUCCAAAACUGCAUGACUAGAGUACGGUAGAGGGUAGUGGAAUUUCCUGUGUAGCGGUGAAAUGCGUAGAUAUAGGAAGGAACACCAGUGGCGAAGGCGACUACCUGGACUGAUACUGACACUGAGGUGCGAAAGCGUGGGGAGCAAACAGGAUUAGAUACCCCGGUAGUCC